rnacentral:lncRNA from 1 species
CCAAAAGUAUCAAUGAAGAAAAUAUCCAAGAUUAAUAUGUAAUAUAAGGAAAUAACCCUCUAAUAGAGCUAUAAUGCAAACAUACACAUAAUAAUAAUAAUGGAUUAUGCAAAGAAACCAAAAUUAGCACCUUAACCACGCCACACACAUACGAGAUAAAAACAUUAUUUGAGAUUCCUUAUUAUCUACUUUACGAGUUAAAAACUAUGCAAAGUUUACUAAUUUCUCCUUCACUUCCAGUCAACACAUCAAUUUUCCCCAUCUUUACUACUGCACCAACAAAUUUCUCGCAAAAGUUCUCUCCGUUAGCAGCCAAACUUGUUACCACUUCUUUUAAUAUAGAAUCCAGAGCCAGGUUUUGAUCAAUCGUUAUCACUCCUCUCCUCAAAAGAAUUUGAUUGUAAAAUUCAUUGUCAAACACAAAUGGUGUCUUUUGAUCCAAAAAGACUAUUGGAUCUUUCCCUUUAACGCAACAAAAUUCAAAUAAAUUAUUUCUAAAAUCGCGAUACAUUGAGAAACUUUCAUUUUUAAUCCUACUUUCAAUGAAGCUGCAAUGUGUGAAACCAAUAGUGUGAGCUCCUAGUAGGGUAACCAUCUAUUCCAUUGACAUGCCUUUGGAAUUGAAAAUUUGCGAUGCAUAUGAACUAGAGGUCGCAGUCUUUGAAGGUUUACUUCAUUAACUAUUGCAACCAAUCCAUCGUGUCUUCCUGUAGGCACAUUGUAGCCUGGUCCACCUGCUAAAGCAACAGAGUCUCUUGUUGCUAGUGCAAUAUAUGUUUGUACAAUAAAUUGUUGCUGGACAUGCAUUUUUCGGGACUUCUUUUAUUUCAUCAAUGAGUUCGAAUCCUCUUUGUGUCCCAUUUGCUCCAGAUUCUUUCUCAGAUUGAUUACCCUUUUGAGAAUCGAUUAAAAUGGAUGCAUCACAACCCUAAUAUUAAAUAAAAAAUAUUUGUUAAUGAAAGUAGGGGUGUCAAAAUGGAUGGAUUGACUGAAUUUGGAUUGAAUUGCUAAUAGAUGGAUCAAAAUAAUUUAUUAAUCCAUUAGAGAUAAAAUUCAAUCCAAUAAAUCCAUUAUCUUCUUUCCAACGGAUGGAUAUCCAAUCCAUCCAACAAAAUUAAUCGAAAUAUUACUGUUUAAUUUGAUAAAAAACUAAAUAUUAUUUUUUUAAUUUCAUAAAAAACUUAUGAUUGAAAUUUGUAAUUUUUAAUUAACAAAUGUAAUUUUUAAUUCAAAUAUUUUUUAAUUGAAAUGAUAAUUUAGUAAUUAUUUCAAAAACAUUUUUUUUAAGGAUUGAUGUAUAAUCUAAUCAACACAAAUUUCUUUUUAUACUAAUCCCAAAUAUCAUUUUAGUGAGCCCACUAAUCCAUUAUAUUCUUUUUACACCAAUUUAUUUUUAACUUAUGUGUAUGUGCGUGCAUUCGCGUGUGCGUGUUAAAAUAAAUAAAUUAAAAAAUUAUUAUAACUAAUUUUUAAAAUAUAUAGACUUAUACUCUUAUUGUAAAAAAAAAACACUUAGACUCUUAUUCUCUUAAUAGCGAAAUCUAUUUAAAAAAUUAAAAGUUAUUAGAGAGAUUCUAACAAUCGAAAAUAUAAUAUUUAACUUUUCUUUAACAUUAUAUAUUUUUAAUGGAAACUCAAUAUGAAAUAAUUGCAUUAAGAAUUUGGGGUACCAAAAGUAUCAAUAAAGAAAAUAUCCAAGAUUAAUACGUAAUAUAAGGAAAUAACCCUCUAAUAGAGCUAUAAUGCAAACAUACACAUAAUAAUAAUGGAUCUUGCAAAGAGACCAAAAUCAACAUCAUAACCACGCCACACACAUACGAGAUAAAAGCAUUAUUUGAGAUUUUUUAUUGUCUACUUUACGAGUUAAAAACUCUGCAAUUUUUUCUAAUUUCCCCUUCAUUUCCAGUCAACACAUCAAUUUUUCCCAUCUUGACUACCGCACCAACAAAUUUCUCCCUAAAGCUCACUCCAUUAGCAGCCAAACUUGUUACCACUUCUUUUGAGAUAGAAUCCAGAGCCAGAUUUUGAUCAAUCGAUAGCACUCCUCUCCUCAAAAGAAUUUCAUUGUAAAAUUCAUUGUCAAACACAAAUGGUGUCUUCUGAUCCAAAACCACUGUUGGAUCUCUCUCUUUAAUGCCACAAACUUCAAAUAAUUUAUUUCUCAAAUCACCAUCCAUUGAGAAACUUUCAUUUUUAAUCCUACUUUCAAUGAAGCUGCAAUGCGUGAUACCAACGGUGUGAGCUCCAAGUAGAGUAACCAUCUCUUCCAUUGUCAUGCCUUUGGAAUUGAAAAUUUUGAAUGCAUCUGAAACAGAGAUCUCUGGUGUUGGAAGUUUUACUUCAUUAAUGCUUGAAACUAAUCCGUCCCGUCUUCCUGUAGGCACAUUGUAGCUUGGUCCACCAGCUAAAGCAACAGAAUCUCUUGUUGCUAAUGCAAUUAUGUCUGCACAAGAAACUGUUGCCAGACAUGCAUUUUCCAGGACUUUUUUUAUUUCAUCAAUGAGGUUGAAUCCUCUAACUGUCCGAUUUGCUACAGAUUCUUUCUCUGAUUGAUUACCCUUUUUUGAAUCUAUUAAAAUGGAUGCAUCACACC